rnacentral:rRNA from 1 species
CCUACGGGAGACUGCAGUGGGGGAUAUUGGACAAUGGGGGGAACCCUGAUCCAGCGACGCCGCGUGAGUGAAGAAGUAUCUCGGUAUGUAAAGCUCUAUCAGCAGGGAAGAAGAAAUGACGGUACCUGAGUAAGAAGCCCCGGCUAACUACGUGCCAGCAGCCGCGGUAAUACGUAGGGGGCAAGCGUUAUCCGGAAUUACUGGGCGUAAAGCGCUCGUAGGCGGUAUGUCAAGUCAAGGGUGAAAUCCCCGCGCUCAACGUGGGAACUGCCUUUGAAACUGGCAAACUGGAGUGUGUGAGAGGAUAGUGGAAUUCCAGGUGUAGGAGUGAAAUCCGUAGAUAUCUGGAGGAACAUCAGUGGCGAAGGCGACUAUCUGGCACAUAACUGACGCUGAGGAGCGAAAGCGUGGGUAGCAAACAGGAUUAGAUACCCUUGUAGUC